AACUCGGUAGCUUAGUUGGUAAAGCAAUUGUCUAAUGAAUAAGGGUCGUAAGUUCAAAUCUCACCUGAGCUG
rnacentral:tRNA from 1 species